ACACGAUCAACUCUAGUUAAGAGUUGGAACUGACCUCAUAUAUGCUAUAUUUGCGUGUAUUUGGUUUGAAUGUAUUAAGUUGAUGGGCUUCCCAAUGUUGCUCAAUGUGUGCUAGCGAGACAGUCGUCCCGAACUCACAUUCUAGCUUCAUUGCAAAGUUCUAAGCACAACUUUUUAAGUUUCGUUAUCAUCAA
rnacentral:misc_RNA from 1 species